GCGUGUGUAGCUCAGGUGGUUAGAGCACCCCACUGAUAAUGGGGAGGUCCCAAGUUCGAGUCUUGGCACACGCA
rnacentral:tRNA from 1 species